GUUCAAUCAGAAAUACACGUCAGUUAUGACAAGGCCAUUAUAAGCCAAGGUCCAUUGAAAUCUACAAAGAGCAUCUCAACAUUGGGGUUAACAAUGAGUAGGGGAAAGACAAAAAAGAGACAAGAGAGAGAAUGAAAGAAGUUAUUCACAACCACAAUUCUCACUCAACAUCCACUCCACUUCAUAAUCAUCAUUCCACCAUAACUUCAGUCUCUCCUCUUCUUCUUCCUCUCAUUCUUCUCAGCUGAGUUCUUUAGCAUUAUAAUCAGAAUUCGGACAAAAACAGCAAUGAAAUCAGUAAAAAGACUCAACGCGUGUUUCACAUAAUCCAUAUCACCAAGAUGUGCCUUCUCAAUUAUUUCCUGAGUAUCAACUACCAUGUACCCAACAAAAACCAAGAGCCCAAAGUACAACUCAAACUUGAAAAGGGCAGUAGAACCACCGAAUACAGAGGAGGCAAAAUGUAACCAGAGUAACAUGGAUACGCCUGAAGAAAGUAAACCACCGAGAUAAAGGAAUUCUCUACGUCUUGCCAACAAGGCUGCUCCUGAGAAACAACAAAAGGCAACCGCAGUUCCCACGAAAGCGCUCACCAGAACACUUGGGUCAAUCUCAACAGCCAGAUUAAUCAAAGGACCAAUUGAAGCCCCUUCAAAAAGAGCAGCCCCUAAUAAAAUAGAGGUCCUCCUUUUCUCUUCAUAAGGAGGGGUGGCAAUUAGCCAUGUAAUACAUCCAAUAGAUGCAAGUGUUGUGAGAAUACCGCCAAUAUUCCAAAGUAUAUGCAGAUAAGCUCCAGCAGCAGAUGCAACUAAAGCACAACCAAGAGUAAGGUAAACCUGGUGGAGAUGAGACUGAACGGCCGGCGAAAUCUGCCGGAGAUUCUUGAGAGAAUCAUAGCUCCAACGGUUUCUAGAUCCUACUUGAGAAUCGAAGAAAGAUGAAAAUGCAUCCAUUUUGAUUGCUUUGAAGAGUUACAGAGCAAGUACGAAGGAUGAC
rnacentral:misc_RNA from 1 species